CUCCAUCUUAUCAGGGUCUAUGUGAUCGUUCGCUUCAGCAUUGGUACGUUGGUUUUGGUCAGUACCUGGUGAUACAUCCUGCGCGUCUUCAUCGUACUGCAAUGUUCUCUGUAGUGCCAGUAGGAACAAAAGCAAUGGGAAAGAACAGUUGGUGCCUGCUUUUCAUGAGCAUGGGAAGACAGGAUUGAAAGAAAACUUACAUGAUCAGCAUCUGAGGAUUGAAGACCAACAGCAUUUUGACAUUGGGGCCGACUGUUUGAUGCAUGUGUACCAACCUUGGAACCACUCGCUGCUGGUUUGGACACAGAUAACUUUCCUAUGCUAGAAGCUCCUAAAUCUGGGCCAUCAUUACCAUGACAAACAGGACUACCAGAUUUGAAUGAACAUAUACUUUCCUCAGCAGGGCAGGGAGUGCAAACACUGUCUACUUCUUUGGUCUCAAUGGGAUGAGAGGUAUGCUGCAGAUGAACACUGAUUAUCAGUUUCCAGUGUUUUGUAACAAAAAAAUGUAUCGCACAAUUAGAAGAAAAAUAUUUUGUGCUCCAACAGCAACUACUGAAAGUAUGGUGUGCUCAUAAGUCAAGAGGCAUGUACCUGAGGUAGACAGACUAUCUGCUCGACCAGGCUCCCAUCCAUGUCACAUGACUCAUCAACAUUCUUCGGACUACUAUGUAUCUUAGAUGCUUUGGUCUUAGAUGACUUACUUUUAUGAACAAGUGAG